AAAAGGUGUUCUUUGGAGGCGCCGCUUGCCUUGUGAUCCUUGCUGUCCCAAAAGAUCUGCCAGUGGUGGUGACAACCCUAGCUGUGGUGGGCAAAUUUGCUGCUACUGCCUCUUUCAGCACAGCCUACAUUUACACUGCAGAACUAUACCCAACCGUUUUAAGGCAGAAUGGUGUAGGUGUGAACUUUAUGUGUGCUCGUGUGGCGGGCAUCCUGGUCUACCAUUACACCAUCCCUAUGCUUAUAUAUGGCAUUGUCCCUGUUGCUGCUGCGGGAUUGUGUUUGUUACUGCCUUAAACCCUCAAUGUUGAGCUUGAAGACC